AGUGAACGCUGGCGGCGUGCCUAAUACAUGCAAGUCGAACGAUGAAGUCCUAGCUUGCUAGGAUGGAUUAGUGGCGCACGGGUGAGUAAUAUAUAGUUAAUCUGACCUACACGGAGGAACAACAGAAGGAAACGACUGCUAAUACCACAUACCACUAUUCGACAUAAGUUAAAUAGGGAAAGUCUUUUCGGUGUAGGAUGAGACUAUAUCGUAUCAGCUAGUUGGUAAGGUAAUGGCUGACCAAGGCGAUGACGCGUAACUGGUCUGAGAGGAUGAUCAGUCAACUGCGAACGGAGACACGGUCCAAACUCCUACGGGAGGCAGCAGUAAGGAAUAUUACGCAAUGGGGGAGAGCCUGACGCAGCAACGCCGCGUGGAGGAUGACACUUGUCGGAGCGUAAACGCCUUUUAUCAGGAAAGAAUAAUGACGGUACCUGAUGAAUAAGCACCGGCUAACUCCGUG
rnacentral:rRNA from 1 species